AGUGAACGCUGGCGGUAGGCCUAACACAUGCAAGUCGAACGGCAGCACAGUAAGAGCUUGCUCUUACGGGUGGCGAGUGGCGGACGGGUGAGGAAUACAUCGGAAUCUACUUUUUCGUGGGGGAUAACGUAGGGAAACUUACGCUAAUACCGCAUACGACCUACGGGUGAAAGCAGGGGAUCUUCGGACCUUGCGCGUUUGAAUGAGCCGAUGUCGGAUUAGCUAGUUGGCGGGGUAAAGGCCCACCAAGGCGACGAUCCGUAGCUGGUCUGAGAGGAUGAUCAGCCACACUGGAACUGAGACACGGUCCAGACUCCUACGGGAGGCAGCAGUGGGGAAUAUUCGACAAUGGGCGCAAGCCUGAUCCAGCCAUACCGCGUGAGUGAAGAAGGCCUUCGGGUUGUAAAGCCCUUUUGUUGGGAAAGAAAAGCAGCAGGUUAAUACCCCGCUGUUCUGACGGUACCCAAAGAAUAAGCACCGGCUAACUUCGUG
rnacentral:rRNA from 1 species